UUGGAACCUUCAAAGUACUAGAGCCACCAAAAUUCUACUCAGACUGAAAUUAUUAACUGGCAGCAAACCAGCCUUCAGCAUACACAUGAUGACAAUGCCUGGGAGGAUUCUGUUGGAGAAACAAGAAGGAAGGAAACUUGGAUCUUGAGUGACUUCAUAGAGCAAACUGGUCUGGCAUAAUGGAACAUCUCUAUGGACUGCUGCAUGAAUGUUCGAUAACACUUUAUUUUGUUUGAGCCAUUGCAUUUUGUUCUGAUUUUACUAUAUAUGCUGCUGCAGCAAGCACAGAGGAUUGCAUUUGAGACACUUUAUUCAAGUAGUUUAGUAAUAUUCUAAAAAAAUUAGUAUUUAUUAUAAGAAUUAACAAUUAGUAUACAUCAAAAGGGUGCUGUUUAGCCACUUAGAAAAAGCUGAUCUUUAGCAUUUUACAAAAGUCUAUUUAAAAAUAACUUACAUAAAAGUGUAAGAGAAAACAACCAAGAUGAGUGAAGUUGUUAUAUUGACAAUAUUAUACUUCAUUCUAAUUUAUUCAUUACGAUUUUAAGAAAUUUGCAUUUGGCAACACUUGGUUUGUCCUACCUCCAGCGACUGUUUUUAUUUAUUUGGCAACACUUGGUUGGUCCUACCUCCAGUGACUGUAUGUAUGUAUGUAUGUAUGUAUGUAUGUAUGUAUGUAUGUAUGUAUGUAUUUAUUUUUGAGACAGAGUCUUACUCUCGCCCAGGCUGGAGUAUAGUGGUGCAAUCUUGACUCAC
rnacentral:lncRNA from 10 species